rnacentral:rRNA from 1 species
CCCUUAGAUGUCCGGGGCUGCACGCGCGCUACACUGUAGAAAGCAGCGUGCUUUAAAACCUUUCCUGAAAAGGAUGGGUAACCCCAGCAAAAUUCUACGUGCUUGGGAUAGAGAUUUGCAAUUUUCUCUCUUGAACGAGGAAUUCCCAGUAAGUGCGAGUCAUCAGCUCGCGUUGAUUACGUCCCUGCCCUUUGUACACACCGCCCGUCGCUACUACUGAUUGGGUGUUCAAGUGAGAUGCUUAGACCCUUGUUGCAUGGUUCAUUAUUGUGCUCCGAAAGGAAAAAGUUUCAAGCUUGAGUGUCUAGAGGAAGUAAAAGUCGUAACA